GAUGCAGACCAUCUGCCUUCAGCAGGUCAGGACGGCCCCAGAAAGAAGGCCAGUUAUCCACAAAACUAUAUCCCUGCUCACUACAGUGACGAGCCAGCCAGCGGUUCAGAGACGUGAAUCUACUGUACACCUCAUCAUUACCCCGCAUGGGUAAAAGACCAGAGACAACUAAUCGAUGCCGACACAUCUUUCUAGCAAACUCAAACGUCCUAGCUAAACUAGCUUUGGUGACCUCAGACUGCUUCAUUCUAAUGUUAUUGGUGCCGACAUGAAUGACAAUGUUGCUAUAACUAGGUGUGCAGUGUACCUGAGCCCCCUGUUUCUCCCUGCGUGAUGCCAGCACCCUAAGAUUAUCCUCAAUGUCGGAAGCUCUGGUCCCAGGUAGGCAGUAAACAUUGGCUGGCGAGGCUAAUCUGACAUUGCGAGUGAUGGGAGUCCUCUAUGACUAGAGUGCGUUGUUUAGCCCUGUCAGCGGGAGCGGGGGAGACACGCGGGCGCACAGGACUACCAACGGGGCUAGCAAGAGUCGAAAACCGGUUUGCAGUCGGGAGGGGCGACUGCAGACCAAGCCACACAACCGGUUGCUUGCUCUUACGUGCCCCUUUCCGCCCGCUGACAGGGACGAACUCCGCACUCACUGCCGACGAGGCUAAGCUAGCCCUAACAGGCUCGCUGUCGAGCCCGUGGCUAACGCUAUCUGGAGUGCCCGUCAUAUCUAAGUGGUAUUUGACCAUAAAUCUCUCACGUGACUCACCUGUGUGACCUGCUGAGUGAUGCGUGCAGCCAGGCUCUGCAGGUUCGUCGGGGCUCUGAUUGCCCGGACUCUGGGAUUCACCUGCUGCACCGAGGUCAUCUCCUCUCCUCUGACUGAGGAGAUCUCAGUGACAGCCUGCCUGUAAACUCCAGCAGGAGGGAAUCUGUCCAUGAGGCGGCGGUGAAAAGAGCCGAGGCGAGCCAGGACCUCCUCCAGAGUGUCAGGUGGUAAAUGCAGACUGGGAUAAAGGUAGACUCCCCCCAUCGCCGGCUGACAGCUCAUCCCUGGUAGACCGUCCAAGAACUGCCAAGCCCGCUGAGCAUUCUGGGACAAAGUGGCCCGAGCAAGGAGAAUCUCCUUCAAAGGAAAGAACAGCAGAGAUUGAAGGGUCUCCAGGUUUUGGAGGGCUGACCAUGAGAUCCAGAGCAAGCUGUCCUGUGACUGGAGUACUGAUAUCAGUAUCAAUCAAGAUAUCCAGAUACUGCAUCACCUCUGGGUCCAUGUUGACAGCCUCCAUGAAUCCUGCUCUCAGACCACACCUGGGACACAGAUACAGAAGUUUAAUCGCGUCGCCACGACCUCCAUUUUGGACGUCACCUGCUCCUCCUCCACUGCUCAUGCUUCACGAGACAUCCUGCGGACAGAGGUUGGCUUCAGGGAAGUGGCUGGAGACGGUCAGCGUGCUGUAAAUCUUUGCUGGGACCUCUCCUGGAUGUCAUUGAUGUGUUGAUCAAAGCUGAGCUUGUUGUCUAGAGUGUCAGAAGUCUGCAAAGAUCUCCAUCAACAGGCCUACGGCUACAACCACGACCCAGAGACUAAACAGCAGCCUCCAAGACCAAAGAAGCCGCGGCACGCUCAUGUAUUUAUUCUUCAGUCCUG